rnacentral:rRNA from 1 species
CCUACGGGAGGCAGCAGUAGGGAAUUUUCCGCAAUGGGCGAAAGCCUGACGGAGCAAUACCGCGUGAGGGAUGACGGCCUGUGGGUUGUAAACCUCUUUUCUCAAGGAAGAAGUUCUGACGGUACUUGAGGAAUAAGCAUCGGCUAACUCUGUGCCAGCAGCCGCGGUAAUACAGAGGAUGCAAGCGUUAUCCGGAAUCACUGGGCAUAAAGCGUCUGUAGGUUGUUUAGUAAGUCUGCUGUUAAAGACUGGGGCUUAACCCCAGAAAAGCAGUGGAAACUGCUAGACUCGAGUGUGGUAGAGGUAGAGGGAAUUCCUAGUGUAGCGGUGAAAUGCGUAGAUAUUAGGAAGAACACCAAUGGCGAAGGCACUCUACUGGGCCAUAACUGACACUGAGAGACGACAGCUAGGGGAGCAAACGGGAUUAGAUACCCCGGUAGUCCUAGCCGUAAACGAUGGAUACUAGAUGUUGCACGUAUUAACCCGUGCAGUAUCGUAGCUAAGGCGUUAAGUAUCCCGCCUGGGAAGUACGCNCGCAGAGAGAACGUACAAGAAGUAGACGCGUGAGACGUGCGACGACGACGACGAGGGAGGUAGG